AGUUUAUUAAAUCUCAACUAUGAAAAAAUAAAUAAAUGAGUUAUCUAUGGUGGACUUUUUAACACAAAUGAGUUCUUGAAGAGUAGAAGAAAGAAGAAAGAUAUGGACGAAAAAUUAUAGAAGUUGUUGUGUGCGGCUUUGAAAGAAGAGAGAUCAUGAUUCUGCUUCUCACCUAUGAUUUUUAUAGCAAAAGGGGGCUAGGCGUUUUUCCUUUUGUUGAUUAAAAUCUUUUUCUU
rnacentral:lncRNA from 1 species